rnacentral:lncRNA from 1 species
ACCUGGUCCUUCAGUUGAUGCGGGUGAGCAGCAGAGUCUACCUUCAUCUCCUACUGGUUCAUCUGUCACUGCAAUAAGCGGAAGAAGCUCUGUUGGAAUGAGUUUGCAAAUCAAAGGUGCCUGGUGUACACCUCCAAGAAUCUUUAUGGAUCAACAGGUACUGCCAUCUUUGUACAAUUGCCUGAACUAUAUGCUUAGGAACUCUUUUUUAAGAUGAAUAAAGGAGAAUCACAGUGAGAGAUUAGAAAGGAGAAUUGAAUUGAACAAAACAAUGCACAAAACACAACAUCACAAAACUUUCAAACAGUAUGUGCUUCAUUAUUGCUUAUGUAUAAGGCUAAAAAGAUUAUUUAUGAUUUUCAAUGGUUAAUGGAAAUAAAAUACAAGUAUAGUUAAAAAUGCAUGAUCGUUUAGAGUAGACAUGAAAUUAGUGCAUUGAUUAAAUGUUCGCCCAAUAAGAACUGUCACACAGUUUUGUUGGAUGCUGAUCAAGUGUCUGGUCUUGAAUAAGCAGGAUGAAAUUAUACAUCAUUUGGAGCCUGGCCGCUUACCAUCUACUGUGGAUCCAGAUGCAAUACAACCACCUGACAAGGGGAAAAAAUUGAACCAGCGCCCUGUGCGAAUAAGCGCAUGGAAACUUGCAAAAUUAGAUUCCAAUGAAGCAGCUAAGGCAUUAGCUAAAGCUCGAGCAUCGUCGUCUGUGCUUCGUCCAAUUAGUUCUCGAUCUCAUGCAUAUGAUGUCGAUCAUUUAUCAAGUAGCAAUUUGAGUGGAAGAAGCAGCCCUAUUAGUAACCGAGGAUUUCAUAACAAAUAUGAUCAAGCAGGGACAUCAAGGUUAUCUCCUUCCAAGAGUUCAUACCCUCCCAGUCAAGCAAGCAGGGAAGAUUUAGAUGCGUGCCACCACAGUAUGAGUAACUUGAGCAGUCCACAAGUGUCCAACAUAUCUCCUUCGCCAAUGCAGAGGCCAGGUUUGAACAGAGACCAUUUCAACCCCAUGUAUCAGCAACCAUCUAUAAAUCAGUCUCCUUCAUCAGUUAGAGGAAGUGAAGG